CCCCCCGCCUCCCGCUUGCUCCCGGCGUCUCUGCCUCCUCUCUCGCUCCUGCCACUACCGCAUGCUUGCCUGCCGUCACCAGGCGCGCCCCAUGGUCUCUCCCUCCAGUCUGCAAUGGCCGUUUUCGAAGUCACCCGCGUCCGCGUGGCGGGUGAUAGAUAGCGUCCUCAGCCUCCGCCAUCGGAGGUUCCCACGGAUUAACCGGGUGACCGGGACCCUAGCGGCGCGGAGACGGAGAGGCGCCAAAGCCGUUGUCCGCGCCUCGUCUGGAUGUUCUUCGAUCACUGUCGUCGUACCGCUGCUUCCGUCUUUUCCUCGGCGAGUUAAGCAGCAGCCCGUUCGUCCAGGUCCAAUUAGUUGCCUUCGCCGUGAGAGCAUGAACACGAGUCGUGCUCCUUCCUUCCUUCAUUCCUUUUCUUUUUACCGAUCAAUUGGGGAUGAAAGAAUGGCACCAGGAAGGCAGGAAGUCGGGGGCCAUGCGUGCUGAAUGUUGGAUAAGAGAACUUCAUUUGGCAGGAGUCAUUUGAAUCCAAGGCCAAGGAACAUGACUAGUGGAGCUAUGCAUUUUGAUGAGGCGAGAACCAAUUUCUUUCUUCUUUCCUAGUUUUGAUCAACAUAUAUGACCUUAAAGGCUGCUACAUGGCAUCGACAAGAGUACUAAAACUACAAAACUAAUGAUGGCCGUAUAUGUGGUGAGUUCAUUUCUUGCUAAUCCUUUUCUUUUAGCAAAUCUCUUGUUUGUUCACCGGAUUUUGUUGGUCUAUCUAGGUGCGUAGUCAGUGCUAGCGAGACCAGAUUAAUAAAUCCUAUGGUUUAGGUGGAUAAUCUGUUGUGGGACACAUAUGUUGGACUAAUUAACAAUGCAACUGAAGGAGUAUUCAACUUAAUCUUGGCCCAUAUAGAUUGUGGCAGCUAGGUAGGGCAAUGAUGAUCUGCGCCUCAUUUGAAUUGGUUUAGACCAGCUGGUUGUCCCUCUUGUUGUACCAUGUGCAUAAGUUGACAUGCAGCUUACGUAGACAUCAAGCAAACAGUUGGUGGCUGCUUGUGUCCCCAAUUAUUCUUGUGUAUGCAUGUAAAUAGUCUAGUUCUUUGGUUGGCCUUAGCUUCUAGACUCCAAUCUCUUUCUUAUUAGCGCACACGGUGUGUCCUCCAUCUUAGCUAUUACCCUAACUGGAUCAUGCAUUGUGCCAUAAUUCAGUCAUCCGAGUCACUUUAUUAUUUUUUAUUUUUUUUUGUAAAAGUCACAAGAAAUGUAAGUAAUAGUAUGAAAGUAUAAUUCAUGACAAAUCUGCCAGUAGCAUUGUGAACUUGUUAAAUGCUAUCAACUUUGUGUGAGCAAAGUUUUCGAGUGGUCUGUCUGAGUCUUAAAUAAAAAAACGCGACGUAGCUGCAUCGACGGUAGCCGUGGAAAAGAUUGGGAGAAAUUUCUUUCGGAAUUCGGUCUUAUUUCCUGGUCAAACUCUGGCAGAACCCCAUCAAUCGCGGCUGCUGAUUCCACUGGAGUUGAGAGGGUCCAACUAACCCAAAUUGCUGACUCAAAACACUUUGACUUUUUCUCUCUUGUCCUGCAUUGAGCAGAAAAAUAAAAAAAAUGGGUACUCGGCGUCGAUGAUGACUUCUUUAGACUUGGAUCAAGCCCUAGGCACACCACUACCCAUGCAUAGAAUAGUAGUAUAAAAA